rnacentral:rRNA from 1 species
AUUGAACGCUGGCGGCAGGCCUAACACAUGCAAGUCGAACGAGUGGCGGACGGGUGAGUAAUGUCUGGGAAACUGGCUGAUGGAGGGGGAUAACUACUGGAAACUGUAGCUAAUACCGCAUACCAUCGGAUGUGCCUAAGUGGGAUUAGCGAGUUGGUGGGGUAACGGCUCACCAAGGCGACGAUCCCUAGCUGGUCUGAGAGGAUGACCAGCCACACGGGAACUGAGACACGGCCCAGACUCCUACGGGAGGCAGCAGUGGGGAAUAUUGCGCAAUGGGCGCAAGCCUGAUGCAGCCAUGCCGCGUGUAUGAAGAAGGCCUUCGGGUUGUAAAGUACUUUCGGCGGGGAGGCGUUACCUGCAGAAGAAGCACCGGCUAACUCCGUGCCAGCAGCCGCGGUAAUAC